UCUUGGACAAGGGGGGAAACCCUGAUCCAGCCAUGCCGCGUGAGUGAUGAAGGUCUUCGGGUUGUAAAACUCUUUCGACGGGGCCGAUAAUGACGGUACCCGUAGAAGAGGGUCCGGCUAACUUCGUGCCAGCAGCCGCGGUAAUACGAAGGGGGCUAGCGUUGUUCGGAAUUACUGGGCGUAAAGCGCGCACAGGCGGUCUUCCAAGUCAGUGGUGAAAGCCCGGAGCUCAACUCCGGAACUGCCAUUGAAACUGUAAGACUUGAGGAUGAGAGAGGUGAGUGGAAUUCCCAGUGUAGAGGUGAAAUUCGUAGAUAUUGGGAAGAACACCGGUGGCGAAGGCGGCUCACUGGCUCAUAUCUGACGAUCAGGCGCGACAGCGUGGGGAUCAAACAGG
rnacentral:rRNA from 1 species